UACAGAGGGGGCAAGCGUUAUUCGGAAUUAUUGGGCGUAAAGAGCUCGUAGGCGGUUUGUCGCGUCGGCUGUGAAAACUCGGGGCUCAACCCCGGAGCCUGCAGUCGGAUACGGGCAGACUAGAGUGCGUGUAGGGGAGACUGGAAUUCCUGGUGUAAGCGGUGAAAUGCGCAGAUAGUCGAAGGAGGAACCACCGGUGGCGAAGGCGGGUCUCUGGGCAGUAACUGACGCUGAGGCACGAAGGUCAGGGGAGCAAACGGG
rnacentral:rRNA from 1 species